rnacentral:rRNA from 1 species
GGAGUUAGCCGGUGCUUCUUCUGUGAGUGAUGUCCUUCCUGCCGGCUAUUAACCCGCAGGCCUUCUUCCUCACUGAAAGUGCUUUACAACCCGAAGGCCUUCUUCACACACGCGGCAUGGCUGGAUCAGGGUUGCCCCCAUUGUCCAAUAUUCCCCACUGCUGCCUCCCGUAGGAGUCUGGGCCGUGUCUCAGUCCCAGUGUGGCUGAUCAUCCUCUCAGACCAGCUACGGAUCGUCGCCUUGGUGAGCCGUUACCUCACCAACCAGCUAAUCCGACAUAGGCUCAUCCGAUAGCACGAGGCCCGAAGGUCCCCCGCUUUCCCCCGUAGGGCGUAUGCGGUAUUAGCCUGGGUUUCCCCAGGUUAUCCCCCACUACCGGGCAGAUUCCUAUGCAUUACUCACCCGUCCGCCGCUCGCCACCAGGGAGCAAGCUCCCCGUGCUGCCGCUCGACUUGCAUGUGUUAGGCCUGCCGCCAGCGUUCAAUCUGAGCCAUAAUCAAACUCUGA